AUUGAACGCUGGCGGCAGGCCUAACACAUGCAAGUCGAACGGUAACAGGAAGAAGCUUGCUUCUUUGCUGACGAGUGGCGGACGGGUGAGUAAUGUCUGGGAAACUGCCUGAUGGAGGGGGAUAACUACUGGAAACGGUAGCUAAUACCGCAUAACGUCGCAAGACCAAAGAGGGGGACCUUCGGGCCUCUUGCCAUCGGAUGUGCCCAGAUGGGAUUAGCUAGUAGGUGGGGUAACGGCUCACCUAGGCGACGAUCCCUAGCUGGUCUGAGGGGAUGACCAGCCACACUGGAACUGAGACACGGUCCAGACUCCUACGGGAGGCAGCAGUGGGGAAUAUUGCACAAUGGGCGCAAGCCUGAUGCAGCCAUGCCGCGUGUAUGAAGAAGGCCUUCGGGUUGUAAAGUACUUUCAGCGGGGAGGAAGGGAGUAAAGUUAAUACCUUUACUCAUUGACGUUACCCGCAGAAGAAGCACCGGCUAACUCCGUG
rnacentral:rRNA from 1 species